CCCUUAGAUGUCCUGGGCUGCACGCGCGCUACACUGAUGUGUCCAGUAAGCACCUAACCUCUUCCGAAAGAAACGGGUAACCUUUGCAAAGCACAUCGUGAUGGGGAUAGAUUAUUGCAAUUAUUAGUCUUGAACGAGGAAUUCCUAGUAAGCACAAGUCAUCAGCUUGUGUUGAUUACGUCCCUGCCCUUUGUACACACCGCCCGUCGCUCCUACCGAUUGAAUGUUCCGGUGAGCUCUUCGGACUGCGCGGUCUGCAGUUUCUGCGUUCCGUGCGGAAAGUUGCGCAAACCUUAACAUUUAGAGGAAGGAGAAGUCGUAACA
rnacentral:rRNA from 1 species